rnacentral:rRNA from 1 species
GGCGAGUGAGCGGCAAGAGCUCAGAUUUGAAAUCGUGUUUCGGCACGAGUUGUAGAGUGUAGGCGGGAGUCUCUGUGGAGCGCGGUGUCCAAGUCCCUUGGAACAGGGUGCCUGAGAGGGUGAGAGCCCCGUAGGGUGCUGCGCGAAGCUUUUGAGGCCCUGCUGACGAGUCGAGUUGUUUGGGAAUGCAGCUCCAAGCGGGUGGUAAAUUCCAUNUAAGGCUAAAUAUUGGCGAGAGACCGAUAGCGAACAAGUACUGUGAAGGAAAGAUGAAAAGCACUUUGAAAAGAGAGUGAAACAGCACGUGAAAUUGUUGAAAGGGAAGGGUAUUGGGCUCGACAUGGGGGGUGCGCACCGCUGUCUCUUGUAGGCGGCGCUCUGGGCGCCCUCUGGGCCAGCAUCGGUUCCUGCUGCGGGAGAAGGGGCUCCGGAAAGUGGCUCUUCGGAGUGUUAUAGCCGGGGCCAGAUGCCGCGUGUGGGGACCGAGGACUGCGGCUUCUGUCUCGGAUGCUGGCAUAACGGCGCAAUACCGCCCG